rnacentral:lncRNA from 1 species
GCCAGCCCCUGGAGCUGGUGAAGCCCGAGGCUCUGCGCUUCAAGGUGUUUGAGCCCAUCCUGGUGAUUGGCCGCGCCAAGGUGAAGAACCUGGACAUCCGCCUGCGCGUCAAGGGCGGCGGCCACGUGUCGCAGAUCUACGGUGCGUGGAAGUUCGACAUGUGAAGGAAGUGGGAGGGAGGGGUUGGGGGUGUGACGUGGGACAUGCCGGGCGGAAUGGCUAUGGGGGAAUUGCAUGGCUACGGGUAUCGAUUACGAUGCCCCCCGCCCGGCCGCGGCAACCUCGUGCGAGCGCUGCUGAGCACCAAACUGGCGAAGCGUGGGCCUGAGCAGCGACGAGGUCAGAGCGGCGAGGCGGCGCGGCUUGGCGGCCGGUGGAGCAGCAGCUGGAGCUGGAGAAAAGUGCAGUGAGCAGCGCGGUGACUGCGGGAGUAGCAGGCUUGGGCCGGGGGAGCGGACGUAUGCGCAGCAGCUUAGCCCAUGCAAAUGGCGCGUCAUGGCGCAGUACCGUAGCUAGCAGCAGCUACAGAGGCUCUGCGGGCGAAGGAUUGUGAGCAUAUUAUGGCAAGCCGCAAACGUGGCCGCGGGGCCGCAUGUUGCCGCCGCCGUUGGUUACCGGGAACCGCGUGGCGCAACGUGUCGACGCCACGGGGGGGCGGCGGCGGCGAGUACCAGGGAUCAUUGCAGCAGAGGGCGGCAUAUCAUCGGGAUGUGCCGCAACGAUUCGAGUGGCGGGGCGCCUGCGGGGCGUGGGCGCCGGGAGCAGCUCUGCAGCAGCUCGCCCGGAACGCAAGCAUUUGUGGCACCCAGUCACGCAAAUGACUGCAGCUCAGAGCAGCAUGGGAGCUUGCGUUGGAGGAGCCGCGGCGGCCUGGCUCCUGGCCACCGGACCCUAACCCAUAGCACGCGGAAACACAUCCCUCGCAUCUCAUCCGCAUUCUAAACCUCUCUUUCAUAUGCCUUCCUGCUUUUUAACCCCACAGCUCUGCGCCAGGCCAUCGCCAAGGCCGUGGUUGCCUUCUACCAGAAGUACGUGGACGAGCAGAGCAAGCAGCAGAUCAAGGACGCGCUCCUGCAGUUCGACAGGACGCUGCUGGUGGCUGACCCCCGCCGCUGCGAGCCCAAGAAGUGGGUGCUCUGGGACGACGUGGGGGGGCUUGGGGCGCUAGGGAGGGGCUGCUGGGGGGUUGGAGGUCGGGCGAAAACGAAUGUGCCGAUGGGUCGGGCUCCAAGUGGUUGCGCUGGAGCUUUGUGCCGGGACGCCGCGAAUGCUGGGGAGGCGGGUUUGGGAAAGCUUUUGCAAAGAACGAGCGAUGAGUGACGCCCAAAGCAUUGAAUGGCGGGAGGGAUGCGUGGUAAAUGGUGGGGGAUGCAAUGACGCAACGAGCUUCUUGCUAAAACACAAGCCCAGGGAGUUCUUUAGGGUCAGCAAAGACAUUGCUCUUGACACGGGUCGCAUCCCGGGUCCCGCACACGGCGUCCCGCAAGCUUUCCUUUCAACGCCGCACACCUGACCACGUGGCUGACC